rnacentral:lncRNA from 1 species
UUUCAAGUUCAACUUUUGCUUGCAUAUCCAAUCCCCUGAACAAGCCCACACCUCUUCAUUUGAAUGUAACUUUUCCUUCAGUACAAGAUAUCAGAUGGAACUUUUCAAGAUUAUUAUAUUUAUUCAAUAUACAACUUGAGAAAGAUGUUGGCACGUAAGUAAUUUUUUCUCUAGCUUACGCAUUCAUUUCUGAAGUAUACUGUCUGGCAGUUUACGCUACUUGAGAUUCCUUGUAGUUAUAAAAUGAUAGAGAAGAUAUGGCAUCACAUGCAUGGAAUAUCUUUCAAAAUGCAGGAUACCUGAAAUAUGAAAUCUUCUUCUCUGAAUGCAAAACAUGAUUGCUGUUUUUUACUGAAUUUUAUAAUUGUUUCUUUACUUCAUAACUAGUUGGCGUCGAUAAAUUCUUUUAUAAACACAAUUAUCAUAAAAUCAAAAUAGACCAUUCUCUCAAAAUUAAAUUACUCUGUUUAUAUAAGAGUUCCGCAUAAUUGAUUUUGAUUAUUUUUGCUUUACUCUGCUGACGAGAAGUGGUAGUAGAUAUAAAAAAUUGUGUCUUUGUGCACAAGCAAAUUCGGUGCCUUAAUAGAACCCUGGUCUGAUUUAAUCACAUGAUAGAGACGUAAGGCAGAAGUUUAGAUUAUAUAUAUAUAUAUCACAAGGAUUCUUAAAAUUAAGAUCUGAAUCANAUCACAAGGAUUCUUAAAAUUAAGAUCUGAAUCACACUGACUUAUUAGACAUAUUUUAUCUUUUAUUGUGGGAUGCAUCACAUUGUAGGAAUGAGAACAAAGUUAGCAGCAUGACCAAUUGUAGUUAGAAUGUAGGCUUUGCCAGCAUGUUUAAACCAUCAUAUGAUAAUUCAUGCAGUUAAAAGUUUUUAUCAAAUAUCUUAAGAUAAGGCAAUACCAUUGGGGUUCAAAUGUUGCUAAAGUAGGAUUUAUAAUAUUCUGAGGGAAGUUUGGUAUUGUAUAUUUCUGCCUGACUGUUGAUUCACUAAUUCCUAUUUGAUAUAAAAUAUUAUGGUGCAUCUUUGUUAUGAUUCUUUCUUAUCUAUCUAUGAAACACAGACACACAUCAUGAAUAAUUAGUCAUUUCCAAUCGUAUGCAGGUUUUUUGUGGUCCUCAUUUUAGCCUGCUCCUCAUUUAUUCUGAUUGGAGGUUUUCUCUUCUAUAAAAUAAGGUAAUAAUAAUUUUGAAUAACAACACUGCUACAGUAACUAUGAGCACUGUCCUGUAUCUUAAUUGUCUUAAACUGAAAAAAGAAAAAUGAAGAAAAGAAAGUAGUUAUCCAGAAAUCAGUUUUUUAAGGUAAUGGUUAGCUUAUAUAAGUGUACUUAGUAACUUGAACAGAAUUAUUUGUUAACAUUACUAUAGAACCAUUGCUGAUUUCAAGAAGGUAUUAAGUAUAUAUAUAAUUUAGUGUCAUCUUAAUAAUUUUGGAGAUAAAAGUUUAGGCUAUUAGAUCUCGGCAGUCAUUCACCAGGCUAUUUGGUUAUUUCUGAGGUCACUGUGGCUUUUUUCUCAUGGAUCCCUUCAUUGUGGCUAACCCAGGGGUAGUAGUGCACAAUCUCUGGAGGAAUGUUUUUGGGAGGCUUGGGCAUGCCUGAUUUCAUCAUCUACUCACCUGAAAGUGUUAUUUCUGCCGUUUGUUUAUGUUAUUUACUAAAUAUAUUAUAAUAAUUAUCUAGCUAAUAGUACUCUAGUGCUUGCUUAAAAAAUGCAGCAACGAACACGAAUUGAGCGUGUCAUUGGGUUUGUUCUUGCUAUAUGGGGCAUAUUGUUUUAUUCUCGCCUUCUAAGUACAAUGACAGAGCAAUUAAGGGUAAGAUCUUAAAAACGACAUUAAUAAAAGAUUUUACCUGUAUAAUUCUUCCUAAUUAGUGAUUAGCAUCUUGACAGAAUAAUAUGCGAAAGCUCCGGGAAGGAGCCCAGGUCCAGGUUAUGGAGUCUGAUCACAUAAUCAUUUGUGGAACUAAUAGUCGUCUGGCCUUCAUACUGAAGCAGCUAGAUAGCUACCAUGAUUUUUCUGUUCGCUUAGGUGCUGCUACGGCUAGGUAAUCCCCAUCUAUUUAGCUAUGCAUUCAAAUUAUGAUAUCUAUCACAUCCUACUUUAUAUGCAGGAAGCAGAAAGUACUUAUUUUAUCUGAUCUUCCAAGGAAGCAGGUGGACCAAAUCGUUGACAGUGUUGCAAAGGAUCUCAUGCACAUUGAUGUUUUUACGAAGAGGUAUAUAUUAGUGAUCAUCUGAAAAUUCUGUGAUCAUAUAAAUAAAUAAAAAAGUCCACCAGUACUCGAAGUCUAGAUUAGGGCUUCUUGACUGCCUCUUCUACCUUUUUCUGAAUAUCUGUGAUAGUAUUAUUGAUGCAUAUGCUUUGUUUUCUGUACCUUAAGUUGAUCUCAUUCCUAUGAGGACUAGCACCAGUUCUAAAAUUUCAUGAUGUUUGGUGGUGCUUCUUCCAAAUCUCAACACCUUUUGAUCUAAAGAGAUCUCUUGACUUGGCAUCAAUAUUCUUUAUUUGUUAUCGUAUUUAGAGAUUGCAUUCUAUUUCACCACAAACACCUUUGUGUAGAAUAUCAGGCUAUUAUACUAGUUAGUACAUUAACAUACUAAUACUUAAUUAUAUUGUGCACGAAUUGGUAAGUAAACUAACAUACUAAUGGUUUAUUAUGUUGUGCACCUACGUUUCAAUAGUUUGAAAUAUAUAUUCAAAUUGUUAUACCUGGCCAAAGAUAUCAAUGUUAUGAUAAUACUUUGAAUAGUUUGCUUUAUCACACAUCACUCUCUAAUCAAUGCACAUGAAAUUGUCUGUGAUGAUCUUGUAUUACAACUGUGGUAUAUAUAAAACAUUUUAAAGUUGAUAUCAAACAGAUGUAAAAGAUUUUAACUGCGUUACCCUAGCCAAUUAUUGUGAAAAACAUCAACCUCUUCUAAUUGUACAUAUAAAGAUUAAAGACUCUAGAGAAUUUAAUAUUACAAAUUGUUGCAGAAGUCUAAGCUGUUAUGGGAAGGUCAACCAUUCUCAUCCUUCACCACUACAUGUAUUCAAAGUCCAGACUAUGUGAACCUCUAUCGGAAAUUUAAUUGUUUUAUUGUAACAUUUUCUUCACUAAAUGUACCUGCUUUGCUCUUGUAAUUUACUUUUAGUUUCUCUCUCUACACUGUGAAUGCAGGCUGUAGUUCCUACAUUAGAAAAAGUAAGCCUAAGAGCUGAACACUUGUAAAUGUAUGCAGUCUACCAGAAAUCUCCUCAUAGUCCUUUAAUGAUACCAUAAUCCACAAAGACAUUCUCUUAUAUAUUAGGAUAAAUCGUUUAGUACAUUAUUAUUCCUUUGCAAUGUAGAUAGAGUGUUCAUAUGAUCUCACAAUGGACAUCCUCAUCUUCUUAUAAUUCAGACUUCAUUAUCUUACACUUUCCAAUAUUUUGGUGCAGUUGUAGUCUGACUAUGACGGAAUCCUAUGAAAGAGCAGCAGCCAAUAAGGCACGCGCCAUUAUUAUGUUGGCAACGAAGAGCGAUGCGUAAGAUUUUAUACUGAAUGAUUUCUAGUUAUAUAUCUAUCCUUUAACCAUCUCGAGCACAUCUCGAGCUCCUAUAGAUAAAAUUUGGAAGUCUGAACUUAUGUCAUUGAACUUGAACCAUAAUAAGUAUAAAGGUUUAAAAGUUCUAACCAUUGAUUAGGCUCCCUAAGUUUUAUCUAAUAACCUAUGGUUAUAUAUGGUUUGUAAAAGAGAUGUAUCUAUAUAAAAAAUAUGAAGUAAAAUUGUAUAUUCAUACAUAUCAUGGAUGGUAGACUAGACUAUUGUCUAUUGAUGUCAAGCGGUAUAAACUUCACAUGUGCUGGGUAGGCUAGUGGCAGAAUUUGUAAUGUUAUUCCUUUGUAUAUGACUUAGAGGCUGUUUGCCUGGGCUUACAGCCCGGGCUUUAAGCCAUUUUCGAUUUUAAGCUGAAAAAUGUCUGUUUGUGUAGUAAGUCAGAAGCCAGAAACUGAUUUAAAGCCAGAAGGUAGUUUGAGGUACUUUUUCUAGUGACUUAAGUUUUUUAAACUUUUUUUUUAUAAAAAUUAUUUGUAAGACAUAAUUUACCUAUAAAUCAUUUUUAUUUUUAUUAUUAUAUUUUUAAUAACUCAUAAGUCAUUAAUAAGUCAAAAUUACCUAAACAGACAUUUUAAGCUCCCAGCUUAUCACAUAAGUCAUGUUAAAUCAUAAGCUCAGCCAAAUGAGCUCUUAAUCCUAGCAAAUUAACUUAGGGUCCCUUGUUGAAUAUCUAUACAUCAUUGUCGUAUCCUUUGACUGACUUGUGGAGAAUUUGACCGACUCUAAAUCUACAUAAGUGAUGAAUUUAGGAUGGAAAAUACAAUAAUAGAAUAAAGGAAAAAAAAGAGAAGAAGGCGCCUUAUGAGAAAAAUAUGUUAAUUUAAUAUUUAUUGUUAAUGUUUGCUACUACAUAUGUAAAUAAAGCAUGUCUUCAUCCUUUGUCCGAAAAAGGAAGAAGGUGUCCGCGUCCCCAAAUUACAUAAAUGUUAACUCAAACACCUUGGAUUUGCGUCAUGUCCAACACUUCGUACAAGACUCUAAGUAACACAUAUAAGCAGCUUAUUAAAUGCACUUUCCUUUCACAGAGUUGUCUAGAAAUCCUGUAGGUGUCAAACAUGGUUCCUCCAGUACCAUCAUACAAUUAGAUCAAUCACAUUUGGCCUAUUGAUUCUAUGGUAAUGUCUGAAAUGGACAAAUUUCAUCUAUCCACCUUACGUGAUAAAAUUGAAGGAUAUAUAUUACCGAAGGUGAUUUGAGUCGCAUAUACAAAUAUCAAACAUUGUUCUCAAGUUUAUAAAUUUUCAAGUGGGAGCAAUUGAAAACUUGAAAUAAUGAAACAUUUGAAAAAAAGUUUAGGGAGCUAAAACAUAUAAAGCAAAAACAGUUCACGAACGAGUCAUGCAUCAAAGUCUCAAGCAAGAUGCCAAAUGAAAGCCUAACUUAAAACAUCUAUUUCUCUAGAAAGGCUGUAUUCUUUCUUUCGUGAACUAGUACGAAAGCAUAUUAAAAGGAAACUCUUGCUAUAUUUAUUUUAAAAACUUUUUAUUUACUGUCACACUCCACAAUUUGCAGUUAUGGAAUUGAUUCAGAUGCAUUUAUUUCUGUUCUUGCCCUUCAACCUCUUCCAAGAAUGGAACUUGUCCCUGCCAUUGUUGAGGUACUCACUUGUGGAUAUGUUUCCUACCAAUGCUAUACGUUAAUCUUUCUAUGAUUCAUUUUGGUUCUGCAUAGUCAAGCAUGAUUCGGCCCUUAUACACAUUAUGUGGCAGAUGUUACCAGAUAUAUCCUCCUUCCUCCUUUAAUCAACAGAAUUACCUGUUUACUAUUUUUAGAUAGAAAGAGAACUAAGUAUGUGCAUCUGUUUUAUGUUACAAUAUAAUUAUAACAUAAUGAUUUUCCAGUUACAAAUUGUUUAGUGGCAAUAUAGGUUAUUGUUGGUAUUGAUUUGACUUUUUACAAUAUACUUGUAAACUAUACAUAUAUUGUAUACAAUAUUAAGAUGCUAUCAUGAUUAUUUUACAUAAGAGUGAGCUAUUCAAAUCUGCUGCAAACAUCAGAUAGCAUGUUAUCAUCCUGCCACUAUUUUCUUCGGAAGGCACCAAAUAAUUCAGAGACACUCGACUAUUUAGUAAUUUACAUUUAGUUGUAUCAAUCAUACGCCACCUAGUGUAUAUGUGUCUGUGGUUUACACUAUUCUCCUUGCACGCAGGUAUCUAACUCUAACACUUGUGAGCUCCUGAAAACAAUAUCAGGACUGAAGGUGGAGCCAGUCGAAAGUGUUUCUUCUAAAUUAUUUGUACAAUGCUCUAGGCAAAAGGGGCUCAUGAAAAUUUACAGACAUAUGCUUAAUUAUCGAAGUACAGUUUUCAUCUCUUUAUGAAUUAUGCUCCUAUAUACUUCUCAAUAAAGACAUACUUCAACAAAUAUUAUCUUUGUAUGCAUUGCCAUUCUGUUAUGCUCACUUUUAAAUAUUAUUGAUCCUUAAUUAAUUUUUUUUUUUAAGGUUUCUUGGUAAUUUUUAUAAUCUAUAAUUUGACACAACCAAUUUUCAGGGUUCCAUCUGUUUGAUAUAUCAGUGAACUGAUUCUAUUUGCCUUAGUCAUUCGAUAUAUCCCUGGAUUGAUUCUAUUUGCUUUUAUGUUUUCAUAUGACUAGAACACGUGUAGCUGUUCCUGUGUAGUUGCAGCACGUAAAUAUAUAUUUAUUGUUAGGAAGAAAGAUACUUCGACUUGAUCAUUUGUUAAAAACUAGAACUUGUUAUCAGUAGCUUUGCUUCCAUAUACUACUUGAGAUGUAGUUUUUAUCUAGACUGGUGUAUAGCUGUGCUCGCUGGAAAGUGCAAUACAAGAAUAGAUCUUUCAACUAUUAGUCAUUUUCUCAAAAUUCUCCUACAUAACUGUGGUAAUAACUGAAUGAUGUUCUCUGCUGUCCAUGGCAAUGAUUAUUGUAGUAUAUAGUGUUUCCUGUUGAAUACAAAGUACCUUCUGUUCAUAUUAGAGGACUAGUUUUGUUUGUUGCUUUACUGAGGUACAGUCUAGUGAGACUUGCUCUUUAUGACUCAGAAGUUGAUUAUGUGCUCUUGACUUGCAUAAUUGAAUAACUAUGCAAUAAAUAAUUGAGUUUUGUCACUAAAAAUUUAGAUAGUGGUGACCACUCCUUUAUUUGAAGCUAGCAUGUUCUUAUUAUAUUUCAUGUCUUGCCAUUCUUAUAUCUUCCAGUUACAUUCUUCGUGCUAAAAUAUAUCAUUAGCACAUCUGAGACCCAUAUUUAUCUUGCAGAAAAUGUAUUCAAUCUAUGCAAUUUUCCGUACCUAGCAGGACUGAAUUACAAGCGACUUAGGUGUGGAUUUCAAGAGGUAAAUGUUCCUGUUUAUUCUUAUAUAUCUCAGUUUCCUGGGUUUAUUCAUUCAGGCGGCUAGUUUUUAUCAUUGUCCUUCAGGGUAGGCUACAGCAAGUAGUUAGUAGCUAUUAUCCCUAAAGAUAAACUUCUUAGACUAUCAAAUUUAACCCAAAUUUCAACAAUUCUUCAGCAUUAGCUGGAAUGUGUACUUCUUCAAACUUUUUUUUUUUUUUUUUAUCUCUGUCCUUCGGGGUUUGGGAUCCAAGCAGUAGCUGAUUGCUAUUUUCACUGAAAAUAAAUUUAUGUAGAUCAGCUCUACUCCAAGUUCUUUGCUUUAUUCUUUUCACUCAUUUUCCAGGGUGAGCCGACUUGUACCUCUUCUUCCUGCAUGUUUUCAGCUGACUAGCUAUAACACCUGGUUCAACGUUGAGACAUGUAGUGAUUUUCGUCUUGAGACCUAGCAUAUUAUUAAAUUGGGAAACAUAAAUCCCUAAUGGAAUAUAGUAGAAGACUGAUCUUGGCACAUGCCCGAUUGAUCUAGUUUCUCUAGUUCUCCGUGUUUUUAAAAAAUUUAAGAUAACAUAAUGUGGUAAAUAAAGAAGUGAUUGCAUCUUAUGUGGGGGUAACAUUUAACGGUGACACAUAUUCUACUUACAUCUCCUGCAAUUUCCUGGAUUAAUGUAUUCAUUUGUCAUUUGCCAUUUUUUCCCAUCCUGUUGAUUUUUUUCAGGCAGUUGUCUGUGGUAUCCAUCGAAAAGGAAAGAUAAAUUUUCACCCAAAUGAUGACGAAGUUCUCGAGCAAGAUGACAAAGUAUGCAAGCAAUUUAUUUUCUUUAGUAUUUGUUUUGCUACAGUUUAGAACCAUUACACAACAAUCUUGAUGUCAAGAUAACAGUCCCAUUCAUGUUUUGUAUCUCCAAUAAAUUCAACAAUAUCUUAUCUUCUCAAAGUAAUAUGAGUAAAGAAAUCAUAGUUUGUUCCCUUAAGUUUUCUUAUAAGCAGCAGCAGGUAUAUAUGCUGAGACAUCCUAAGUAAGCCCUUCAUGUAAGCAUAAAUAUUGAUUCAUUAAUAAAAUCUCUCAUAUGAUGGGAUAUGUACUUGCAAGCCUUUACAUAUCUGACACAUCUCUAAAAUGAUAUUAUCCAUAACACUGUAGUCUAGUGGAUGCCCCUCUUCUCUUGGUAACAAGAGCUUGAGUGUCCGAGCCUCGGUGAAGGUAUGUGUAUGUGAGUCUCAGGGUAAGUACCUUGCUAAAAGCUAUUGCCUUGUGGAUAAAAAUAUACUAUGGUAUUGAUAUACUUGCAGUUUACAUUGUUUCAUAUUUGCAGUCACACUUAAUCUAAUUUUCAGCUAUUAAAUGCUGAAGCAUCAGUAAUUACCGUAUCAUAUUACUACGCCCAUUAUACUUUUCCAUUGAAGUACUGUUUGAUUGGAAUCGAGUCUAGUAUCAAGUUUGGAAAAUCUACAGAACAUUUCCUAGUUCUACUGACAUCCGCUCAUUCUAUACCCUUUGCUAGCUACUAAAGUUUCUUUUAAGAAUGAGUUUCUAAAUUAAACGAACAUAAAUGGGUGCGUUAAUAUAAUGUUCAUCGAGAAUGGGAUCCACACCCAACUUGAGCUUAAAUUUGUAAAUAUUGCAUGAAGAAACUGCACUGGUUGAUUCAUAGAAGUAUUUAUCAGCAUAAAAUUUAUGCAUCUCAUAUUGUUUUCAAUAAUAAUAAUAACAAUAAAUGCAUAUGUUUGGAGAAAUCAUCACCUACAUGUCCAGUUAUAGUUUCUGCAGAGGAAGAAUUGAUAUUCAUCUCAGUGUAGUAAGCUUAGAUGCUCAUAUAGUUUCAUCUUGAUGAGGGUUACUCAUUCUAAUGCUGCUUUACUUGUAGGUUUUGUUUAUUGCGCCUGUUUAUGGGAAGAAUAGACCACAAGUAGCAUACCAAAAUCUCUUCGCUAAAGAGGUUGAUUCCCUUCAGAAUCUUAAAACACUCAAGCAGAAAGAUGCCUCACCAAAUGAACUCCAGAUGGAAAAAGUACGGAAGGCAAACACGGUGCAACGGCCCAAAAGAUCAGGUUCUAAGGUAUUAUUUUUUUGGGACCAGUUAGAUCUAUGUGUUAUCAGGUAUCAGCCUUUCCCCCUGUAUUUUGGUUGUAGGCAUCAGAUUGGAAUUUAGGACCCAAAGAAAGGAUAUUAAUGGUUGGAUGGCGACCAGAUAUUAUGGAAAUGAUACAGGAGUACGAUAGUUAUCUUGGACCUGGCAGUGUACUGGUAAGUUUCUGAUUUUAUACACAUCAUUAUCACAAAUUCUAAUUUUAAAGUAUCUGACUUAUUGAUAGAAUUGAAACACUUGAACGUUUCAAGUACAAAGCCUCCCUUAUUUUAAGUACGUGCCACAGUCUUUUUAGAUAGUUAUUAGCAUUGCCUCCUUCUCUUGGUUUCCUAAAGUGCCAGAUAAAGAUCUUUUUGUGACAAUGCAAUUAUCGCCUUUUUCCAUUUUCUGAUUGGAGUUAGUUUUUGUUUUUCCAAGUGAUUAUGUUUUUAAAAAUGAGUAAAGAUUCACAGAGAACUUUGAGAGAUUGUUAUAUGACAAAAAAUUAUAACAUUACUUCUGUAAUGGGAUAUUAAGGCUUGGGUAUAUUUGACUCUUUGGAAGUCUAGCGAUUCAAUUUCAUAUCAACCAUGGACGUUCUUAUCAAGGCCAUACUGGUCAAUAUUCGUGAAAAUGUCAAUAUAAGGUACAACUUUUAUCGACAGCAGGUUGCUAUUCAAUUGAGUAGGGCUCCUAGGUGGGACGUGUGUAAAUAGACAAGUCUAAGGAAGAGAAAAUGGUAAACAGCUUAAUGCGGAACAUUCACAAGUUGGAGAGUUUCAAUAUUGAUUGGUGAAACAGUAGUCCUAAUACACAGAAAUGAUUAGAUGGUACAUUUAACAGAGAGAAGAUUUCUGAAUUCUGUCAAGAAGCUAUUAUAGUGUAAAGUAUAAAUGCAUUGUUCCUGAAGGUGUAACAACAUCUUUGUGGUAUGUGCCUAUUUUUCUCCAUACUAAUAGUCUCUCUCUGUCCAAAUGUGUAGGAGGUGUUAUCAGAUGUGCCAAUGCAUGAUAAAAACAGAUCAAAAACCGUUGCUCUUCAAUGCAAGCUAAAAAACAUUAAAGUCCUCCACAUGGUACUGACUAAGUUCAGUUCAAAGUUAUUAGUACCUAUCUGCUUUCUCUGUAAUUGGUCUGCACUAUUUAUGGUUAAAACAUGCAGGUUGGAGAUCCCAUGGACACUGAUAUUUUGAAAGAAGCCAUUACAAAUAUUCAAAAAACUAUUAGAGGCGACGAUAUUCCCUUUUCCAUUGUUGUGUUAUCUGAUAGGGAAUGGCUUCUUCAAGGUAAUAAAACUGUGCAUCUUUUGGCUUUUAGAAGCAUGCUAUUGAGUAUUUAACAGCUCUAUAUUCAGAUCCUUUAAGGGCAGACAAGCAAUCAGCAUAUACUCUUCUUCUUGCUGAAAACAUCUGUGCCAAACUUGGAGUGAAGGUGAGUGCACUUAUAUAUAUUCAUUACAGAGGUACCACUUUUUUGUUUUUCUAUGUAGACUAUAUCUAUCAACUUCUUUAGCAUUAUAUAUUUUGAAUUCUCUGGCACAUUUAAAGAGAAGCCCCUUCAGCUUUAGAUGAUACAGUCAAUUUAUUCAAAAUUAUAGGAAUAGUUGAGCUGAAUUCCUGAAGUGUAGUUGAGUUAAAUUCCUGAAGUGUAAAUAAAUCCACCAAUCUGUGCUAAUACUAAAUCUUAGAGUAAAGCAUGUUGCAAACUUGUUUUCAAGUAUUACUAUUACAUAUUGUAAUAUUGUUAAAACUCAUCAAUCUUGUAUAUAGAAUUAGAAAAUGUUGCAUUUCAUCAGGUCCCAAGUAGAAUUUUCUAAUUGCCUUCUGGCAACAUUUCAGCAUCCAGUCAUCAUGAUCUGUGUAACUAUAGUUCACUUUUACUUGUUCUGUUUUUCUUAUUUGGCUGAGAUAGGUUAUCAAGCUUUUUCAUGUCCUAAUCAAGAUGUACUUUUAGCUUUCCCCUCUUUCUCCCUCCCUCCCUCAGUAAUAGCUGUUCGACAUUAUAACAAUCUGCUUAUUUAUCGAAUAUUCUUGUUAUAUGGUUGGAUUACAGGCGCAAAAUCUAGUUGCAGAAAUUGUUGACUCACAACUGGGCAAACAAGUAAUCAUCCCUGUAAAUUUAUCAUUUUUUAUGAAAUAUGUGUAGCUUUUAUUAAAUUGGAAACACAGUAAUAUUUAAAUCAUAAAACUACUGCACUUUACAGAUUAUGAAAAUAAAGCCAUCACUUACUUAUAUUGCAGCAGAGGAAGUGAUGAGUCUGGUAACCACUCAAGGUAUGGCGCAUUAUCUCUCAUUAUAUAGCUUAAUAAGAAAUUUUGAUAUUUGUUUAUAGUAGUAAAUUAUUUAUCUACUCAUAUCAGUUGCAGAGAAUAGCGAUCUAGGUGUGGUUUGGAAAGACAUCCUAAAUGCAGAAGGAGAUGAAAUUUAUGUGAAGGUAACAAACUAUGUUGGAGGAUUAUCGCUUAUAAAAUGAUGCACUGUGAUCAUAAUGAGUCCAUCUAGAGUGUUUGAACUUGGCAUAUGAUAUCACGACAUAAAUGAGGGUGUUCUAAAUUUAUUAUAGCUUCACUUUAUUGAAACAUCUCUUUUGUUCCCCCUGACUGAAGUCACUGAAUCCUCCAUCAAAACACCAAGAAAAAAAAUCUACAACUAUUCAUGCAAGUUAGUACAUGUAUUAUAGAGAAAAUGCUAUCGUAAAAGGGGCCACCAAAUGCUUCAUAUCCUCUUUUUCACAUUUGAUAGGAUGUUGCCCUCUACAUGAAGGAGGGAGAGAAUCCAUCGUUCAUAGAACUUUCUGAAAGAGCACAGCUGAGAAGGGAGGUUGCUAUUGGUUACUUGAAAAACAAUAAGAAGGUAUCAUUACAUCGAUUUGUGUAUGAGAUGGAUAAAGCCUAGUGAAUUUUACUCAUAUACGUUGAAUCACUGCAGGUCAUAAAUCCAAUUUCCAAGACUGAACCUCUCUUCCUUGCAAUGACCGACUCACUGAUUGUGAUUUCGGAACUUGAAGGAGCUCAACCAGUUCUUGUAUAGAAUGUGUUCAGUGAUAAAAAAUUUUGCCCCCCUCUUCACGCUUGCAUGGAUGUCCUUGCUUCCAAGGAUUUAGCAUGCAAACUUACACUUCCAAAGAUUAGUACUCGAACAAAUUUUAGAUAUAAAACUUGCAAUAGAAGCGAAUUAAGCCUUGUUCUGCAGAACUGUUCUGCUCUAUCUUUUUGGCAGUGUACAUAUCAAUAAUAAUAAAUGCACUGAAUUGGAUAUGCAAGUUUUGAGAAAUGGAUAUCGAGCAUCUUAGUUCCUUCAGUUUUAGCUUAAUCUGAAUUUACAUUUCAUAUACUCCUGUGAUUGCAAGAUGAGGGAGAGACCAUGAGGUUAAUUUGGUAACUCAAAUUAUAUUUAGGUAUUAUUUAAUAAAUUAUAUUGUAUUUAAUAAAAUUAAAUAAAAAAUAGAGAUUAUAUAUCUAUAAAAAAUGUGAUAAUUGAUUAUUUUUUUUAAAUUUAGGAAUAUAAAUAAAGCAUGUUAAUUUAAUUGUAUACUAUUAUUCGAUUUAUCAUUCAUAUUUCCAUUAUAGUUUGAUUAUUUAAUACACAAAUUAAGAAAAAAUUAAAUAUUGACAAAAUAAAUGUAAAUUAUGUAUCCGCACAUUAAAAAUUAAGUAAAAUAUUAAUAUAGGUAACUAAUAAUAGUUUAAUAUGUACACGUUACAUUUAAUAUAAUAUAUAUAUAUAUAUAAUAAUCUAUUAAAAUCCAUAGACUAAAAACAAUGCAUUAAAAUCCCAAUCGAAUACACCCCGAUAAAACUCUAAUUCUCGCCUCUUAAUUUUAGACUAAUAUCAUCCACGAGUCAGCAGCCGCCUCCCUCUAGGGUUUGUCCAUUGUCAAGUAAAUCAAGGGGCUUCCAUUGGUUUUCUCCGGUGGAGAGCCCCAACCCUUUCAUUUAUCCUUUAUUCUCGUUAAUUUCCUUUCAAUUAAACCCAAAUUUUGAGUUUUUGUGUGUCUCUCCUCUUGGAGUGUGUGUUUCGUCUCUCUUUUUGGAGUGUUUUGUUAUGUUUUGGUCUAGUUGUGAUUGGGUUUAUUUGGUGUUGGAUCUGUUGAGAACGAGUUUAUUGAUAUUUUUGGUGAUCUGCAAAGACUGUAUCGAUUCUGGGACGGUGGUGAUUAUUGCAAGAGUUCACCUUUCACAAUUAAAGAUUGUUCAUCCUUCACGGAUUUACACUUUCGGCAUAUCUAUAGCUGGUAUCCGGCAUGUAGAUAGCUGGGGUGCUUUCGGCAUGUCUAUAGCUGGUGUUCGGCAUGUAGAAAGCUGUGGUGCCGCUUCUCCAAUCUCAAUUUAUGCUAUUGGUGUUUUUGAACAUUUGGCUAACAAUGGUUUUUACGUGAUAUGGUCAAUUGCGAUGUUACUAUUUCCAGAGAUGUUGGUGCAAGUUGGAUCGCUUAAGAUAUCUUUGAUUUCGUUUUUAGUUUUAAGAAUUUUUAAAUUCUACGUGUUAAACGAUCAGGAAACAAAUCAUCUAAUUGUUUUUAGUAUGUUAUUUGUUUUACCACCUGGUUGUAUCGACAGUUGAGGGUGUGUCACAGCUGUACUAUAUUCAAGUUGAUGAAAUCUUCUUGCAUUUGUCAAAAAAAAAAAAACUCUAAUUCUCUUAUUGUUUGUUUUGUUUUUACUUUUUAGUUCUCAAAUAUUAAUCAUUCUAAAACUCGACUGCAAACCCUAAAGUGUAACUAAUUUAAUUUUGAGCUAAAACUCAAACAUAAACUUUAAUUGUUAAUGAUUGUUAAUUUAUUUUUAAUUUAAACUUGUUUCCGGAUCUUCGGUCAUUCCCACUUGAAACCAAAAGCCAAACUUAAUCUCAAACUGAAUCUUAGGCCAUUAACUUUGAAACCCAAAACCUGAAACACAAAUCAACACCAACCUGCGGAAACUGAAUGACUCCUCAACAAAUGCUGACGCAAAUUAGAGAAUUGUACUAAUGAAGGGAGAUUUGGGACGCUGAAACUGAGCAGAAACAUAUCAGUCUCAAUUAGUAAAGAAAGCGUGGGUUCUGCCAUUGUAAAAGGGAGAGAGAAUGAACAUAUUUUAGGAUCUGGGAUUUGAUUGGCCUAUUUAGGGUUAAAACAGAGGGGGGCUGUGCGGCGGUUAGAGUUUUAG